GUUUUGUUUUUAGAGAUCGCAAUCAUGUCACGAGAACGUUCCCGCAAUCACAAUGAUAUAUUAAAUGGGCCUAGAGCUACUACGAAUAUUUGUCUUGUUACAUCUAAGUCAUAAAAAAUUAAUAGAAGGCCAUAAAUUAUAGAAGUCAAUCAUCCCGUACACCACUAAGCUAAAUAUUACAACAACUAAUCUUAUAAGCCAACGAUCGCCCAAGCCUACGGCCCAGCUCCAGCUACACUGUAUGACACUCGUGCUGGUUGCCCAGCGCCAAUAGAAGCCACCUUAACCAUGUAAUAUAUUUAGAAAGAAUAGCUUUGUCUGCUCCAGUCAGAACAAAUAAAUAUCAAUAAGUGUCCACACAUGAACAUAGACAUAUUAUCCAGUAAAUUUCUAGGCUAACUGAAAUAUACUUAACAUAAAAAAAUCAAUAUGCUAUUUUUAAACCCUUACUAGAUAUCAGUAAUUGUAUAAACAAAGAAAUAGUCACUGUUUGUAUAACUGGAUAUGAAGGCCCUUCGAACUGAAGUUGGCUGAGAAUAGGCUAAAACACGAAUGACACAACAAUACUUCUUCAUCUUCUCCAAUUGCACAUUAACAUCCUCCUUACUAUUAUCAGUUUCGUACUUCUUCUCAUUAAUCAAACAAUAUCCGUAACAUGAAUGACUAACUUCAAUCAAUUUGCAUUUACUAUACUAGUGGCAUGCUUGAAAGACAUUUCCAGGAGAGAUCAAUCCCCAUUACCUAAUAGUGACUAGGAGAGCAUAACAAAGCUAACAUGUGCAUUAUAAAGAGACAUGGAACAGAAAAGGCAAACAGACUCACUUAAAAGCUUGACUCAAUAACACCAAAUCACUGACAAUAGGAGAACAAUCCUCUUCACAACUAAGCAAUAUCUUUGCAUCAGAAUGUUGGCAGCAUACAUCAACUAGCUUUCAUUUAAAUCAUGCAAUUUUAUAGAACAUCAUAGUAAAAAAGAACAAACAACUUCAUAACCACUGAAUUCAUAAUAAAGCAUAAACUAAAACAUUGACACGCUCAAACUUUGUUACUACAGCUCUAGCCUGCUAUCAAAAUUGUUAUCCAAUUGGAAGUUUUAUAAGUAAAAUAAUACCAUGGUUUAAGGGAGAAACAAACACUAAGAAACAGAAUCACUUAGGUUAAUGUUUCGAUGAAUCUAUGCAGUCGGCUCAUACACAAACUUAACAAAUGGAAAGCUGUCCAAAACUAAAUUGUGGAGACAAUAAUGUCCUUAUGGAUCAAGUUAGAGACUCAGCCGAACUAGCUACUGAAGAUAAAUCUAAUGACAUACUCAGGAAGGGCCUGCCAUUAGACAACAAUAGCUAUGAACAGCUUGAAAGAACAUAAUAAAAACCAAUCAAUUUGUUCACAUUUCAGAUUCAAACUUCAGAAUAUAUUUAGAUGGUGUCCAUGGGAUCGACAAAUACCUGAAACGAAAAGAAAAAGGACGGCAGGGUCAACAGUAAUCAACAAUAGUAACCAGUAGCAGAAUAUUUCCCUAGAAUCAGCUUUGAACCAAGAAUAGUGUGCAGCAAAAAAAAUCUACCAAAAACAUCAAGACAAGCCUUUUAAAUCUCCAAACUCAGACCAUUUCAGCUCCACUUAGGUCAUAGAUCACUCCAGGUAUUGAAACUCAAGAAAUUGCAGAAAUAAUUAUGAAAUAGUGAAUCUCACUAAAAGAAUUUCUAGCUGCCUGUAUUUUCUGGGGUUUUUAUCUCUUCAACCUUGCCUUGAAAGGAAAGAAUGAGAUGCUUUUAUAGGCAAGACAAUAGGGAAACUAUCAGAUUUUAUUUUUUCAAUUCUACCCCUUUUUAAUUUUGUUUUUGGUACUUAAUCCCUCAAAUUUUGACUUAUUUGCCUAGCAAAGCUCUGUUUCAGCUUCUAGGAAGCUUCCCAGGUAGUUAUUUUAGAGAUUUCCUCACCUAAUUACCUAAAUUACCCCCCAAUCCCCAUAUUUUUACUUUAGUCAACUAGAUGACCUUUAGUUCAUGGGUCAAGUUGACCCCAAAAUUCAGCCCCUGACCGGACCAGCUUCUCUUUUCUUUGGGCUUUCAAUUUUAAUAGGAACCCAACCCAAUUCAGUUUUUCAUAAUAAAACCAACCCACAAUUCAAAUAGGCAUGAAUUAUGAACCAAACAAUUUCGAAUUGGAAUCAGAAACAAACAGAAAAUGAACUACCUAAUAUUAACAUGAGAAUUAAAUAAAUACAACUAAUAUGCUCAUGCAAAGAAAAAUUACUUCAACAGAUGAACAAUGACAAGACAUAGAAAAGAAGAUCAGAAGAAUGUGAAAAUGAAGUGACGAACAAAAGAAUGGAGAAAAGGAGAAGAACAAGGGUACCUAUUCAACAUACGCGAAUGAAAGCUUGAAGGGACUCAGACUUUUUGAUUUUGAGCCGAAAUUAGUCUCAAUCACGCGUUCUUGUUAAGAACGGACGAGCAAGGCUAGUUUUGACUUUAAACCUCUCGUCAAAAUUGGGCAAAUUGCCUCCUCUUUUCCUUUUUCAGACCCAGACUAGGCUCCGUUUUGGUGAUGAUUUGCAGACUUAUGGUGAGAGAGUAAGGGUCAUGGGUGAAGGAGGGUUGUAGAGCCGAUUUUUGGGUAGAAAUUUGGAGCUCCUUUGCUUUGUAAAAAAUGGUGGAACCUAAGGCUAAAUUAGGGUCGGGAGAUAUCAGAGAGAUGAGAGAGAUGGGAGAUGGGGAAGAUGACCCGUCUUUGAAAUUUUCGGACAUAUUAAAGGAAAUUGGGUCUUUAGUUCUU
rnacentral:lncRNA from 1 species